AUUGAACGCUGGCGGCAUGCCUUACAAAUGGAAGUCGACCGGUAACAGGUCUUCGGAUGCUGACGAGUGGGGAACGGGUGAGUAAUACAUCGGAACGUGCCCGAUCGUGGGGGAUAACGAAGCGAAAGCUUUGCUAAUACCGCAUAAGAUCUACGGAUGAAAGCAGGGGACCGCAAGGCCUUGCGCGAACGGAGCGGCGGAUGGCAGAUUAGGGAGUUGGUGGGAUAAAAGCUUACCAAGCCGACGAUCUGUAGCUGGGCUGAGAGGACGACCAGCCACACUGGGACUGAGCCACGGCCCAGACUACUACGGGAGGCAGCAGUGGGGAAUUUUGGACAAUGGGCGAAAGCCUGAUCCAGCCAUGCCGCGUGCAGGAUGAAGGCCUUCGGGUUGUAAACUGCUUUUGUACGGAACGAAAAGACUCUUUCUAAUAAAGAGGGUCCAUGACGGUACCGUAAGAAUAAGCACCGGCUAACUACGUGCCAGCCGCCGCCGUAACAC
rnacentral:rRNA from 1 species